rnacentral:rRNA from 1 species
GACGUAGGGGGCCAGCGUUGUUCGGAAUCACUGGGCGUAAAGGGUGCGUAGGCGGGUCUUUAAGUCAGGGGUGAAAUCCUGGAGCUCAACUCCAGAACUGCCUUUGAUACUGAGGAUCUUGAGUUCGGGAGAGGUGAGUGGAACUGCGAGUGUAGAGGUGAAAUUCGUAGAUAUUCGCAAGAACACCAGUGGCGAAGGCGGCUCACUGGCCCGAUACUGACGCUGAGGCACGAAAGCGUGGGGAGCAAACAGGG